AUUGAACGCUGGCGGCAUGCCUUACACAUGCAAGUCGAACGGUAACAGGUCUUCGGAUGCUGACGAGUGGCGAACGGGUGAGUAAUACAUCGGAACGUGCCCGAUCGUGGGGGAUAACGCAGCGAAAGCUGUGCUAAUACCGCAUACGAUCUACGGAUGAAAGCGGGGGAUCGCAAGACCUCGCGCGGACGGAGCGGCCGAUGGCAGAUUAGGUAGUUGGUGGGAUAAAAGCUUACCAAGCCGGCGAUCUGUAGCUGGUCUGAGAGGACGACCAGCCACACUGGGACUGAGAUACGGCCCAGACUCCUACGGGAGGCAGCAGUGGGGAAUUUUGGACAAUGGGCGCAAGCCUGAUCCAGCCAUGCCGCGUGCAGGAUGAAGGCCUUCGGGUUGUAAACUGCUUUUGUACGGAACGGAAAAGCUCUCUCUAAUACAGGGGGUGAAUGACGGUACCGUAAGAAUAAGCACCGGCUAACUACGUGCCAGCAGCCGCGGUAAUACGUAGGGUGCAAGCGUUAAUCGGAAUUACUGGGCGUAAAGCGUGCGCAGGCGGUUAUGUAAGACAGAGGUGAAAUCCCCGGGCUCAACCUGGGAACUGCCUUUGUGACUGCAUAGCUGGAGUGCGGCAGAGGGGGAUGGAAUUCCGCGUGUAGCAGUGAAAUGCGUAGAUAUGCGGAGGAACACCGAUGGCGAAGGCAAUCCCCUGGGCCUGCACUGACGCUCAUGCACGAAAGCGUGGGGAGCAAACAGGAUUAGAUACCCUGGUAGUCCACGCCCUAAACGAUGUCAACUGGUUGUUGGGUCUUCACUGACUCAGUAACGAAGCUAACGCGUGAAGUUGACCGCCUGGGGAGUACGGCCGCAAGGUUAAAACUCAAAGGAAUUGACGGGGACCCGCACAAGCGGUGGAUGAUGUGGUUUAAUUCGAUGCAACGCGAAAAACCUUACCCACCUUUGACAUGUACGGAAGAUCGCAGAGACGCGAUUGUGCUCGAAAGAGAACCGUAACACAGGUGCUGCAUGGCUGUCGUCAGCUCGUGUCGUGAGAUGUUGGGUUAAGUCCCGCAACGAGCGCAACCCUUGCCAUUAGUUGCUACGAAAGGGCACUCUAAUGGGACUGCCGGUGACAAACCGGAGGAAGGUGGGGAUGACGUCAAGUCCUCAUGGCCCUUAUAGGUGGGGCUACACACGUCAUACAAUGGCUGGUACAAAGGGUUGCCAACCCGUGAGGGGGAGCCAAUCCCACAAAGCCAGUCGUAGUCCGGAUCGCAGUCUGCAACUCGACUGCGUGAAGUCGGAAUCGCUAGUAAUCGUGGAUCAGAAUGUCACGGUGAAUACGUUCCCGGGUCU
rnacentral:rRNA from 1 species